CAAAAGGCUCUUUUCAGAGCCACCCACCGUUUCUACGGAAGAACU
rfam:Macaca mulatta chromosome 4, whole genome shotgun sequence.